rnacentral:rRNA from 1 species
GACGAACGCUGGCGGCGUGCUUAACACAUGCAAGUCGAACGGAAAGGCCCUGCUUUUGUGGGGUGCUCGAGUGGCGAACGGGUGAGUAACACGUGAGUAACCUGCCCUUGACUUUGGGAUAACUUCAGGAAACUGGGGCUAAUACCGGAUAGGAGCUCCUGCUGCAUGGUGGGGGUUGGAAAGUUUCGGUGGUUGGGGAUGGACUCGCGGCUUAUCAGCUUGUUGGUGGGGUAGUGGCUUACCAAGGCUUUGACGGGUAGCCGGCCUGAGAGGGUGGCCGGCCACAUUGGGACGGAGAUACGGCCCAGACUCCUACGGGAGGCAGAAGUGGGGAAUAUUGCACAAUGGGCGGAAGCCUGAUGCAGCAACGCCGCGUGGGGUAUGACGGCCUUCGGGUUGUAAACCGCUUUCGCCUGUGACGAAGCGUGAGUGACGGUAAUGGGUAAAGAAGCACCGGCUAACUACGUG